rnacentral:rRNA from 1 species
GACAGAGGUUGCAAACGUUGUUCGGAAUUACUGGGCAUAAAGCGCACGUAGGCGGUUCGUUAAGUCAUGUGUGAAAUCCCUCGGCUCAACCGAGGAAUUGCGCCUGAUACUGGCGGGCUAGAGAUCGAUAGGGGUGAGUGGAACUCCAGGUGGAGCGGUGAAAUGCGUAGAUAUCUGGAGGAACACCGGUGGCGAAAGCGGCUCACUGGAUCGAUACUGACGCUGAGGUGCGAAAAGCUAGGGGUAGCAAACGGGG